GAUGAACGCUGACAGAAUGCUUAACACAUGCAAGUCGAUUCGAUUUACCUUCGGGUAUUGAGGAUGGCGGACGGGUGAGUAACGCGUAAGGAACUUGCCUCUUGGUCUGGGACAACUGUUGGAAACGACAGCUAAUACCGGAUAUUAUGAGAUUCUCGCAUGGGAAACUUAUGAAAGCUAUAUGCGCCAAGAGAGAGCCUUGCGUUCCAUUAGCUAGUUGGUGGGGUAACGGCCCACCAAGGCGACGAUGGAUAGCCGGCCUGAGAGGGUGAACGGCCACAAGGGGACUGAGACACGGCCCUUACUCCUACGGGAGGCAGCAGUGGGGAAUAUUGGACAAUGGGCCACAAGCCUGAUCCAGCAAUUCUGUGUGCACGAUGAAGGUCUUCGGAUUGUAAAGUGCUUUCAGUUGGGAAGAAGAAAGUGACGGUACCAACAGAAGAAGCGACGGCUAAAUACGUGCCAGCAGCCGCGGUAAUACGUAUGUCGCAAGCGUUAUCCGGAUUUAUUGGGCGUAAAGCGCGUCUAGGCGGAAAAAUAAGUCUGAUGUUAAAAUGCGGGGCUCAACUCCGUAUUGCGUUGGAAACUGUUUUUCUAGAGUACUGGAGAGGUGGGCGGAACUACAAGUGUAGAGGUGAAAUUCGUAGAUAUUUGUAGGAAUGCCGAUGGAGAAGUCAGCUCACUGGACAGANACUGACGCUAAAGCGCGAAAGCGUGGGG
rnacentral:rRNA from 1 species